AAGGUCGUAACAAGGUUUCCCGUAGGUGAACCUGCGGAAGGAUCAUUACAAUAAAUGCCGGUAGGUGGUGGGGCUCUUGAUCUGUAAGUGGUAGAGCGAACAGUCCGGCUGCCUCCCGAAACUGUCUUACAUGCCCCCCCAAUCAGCCUGAAGGCCGAAUUUACAACCCUUGAUUAUCUACACUUGUUGCUUUUCGGGGGUGCUCAAGGUGCCCCCAGAGGACCCAAAUUCUCUUGCAUUUAGUGACGUCUGAGUACUAUAUAAUAUUUUAAAAGC
rnacentral:misc_RNA from 1 species